UGCCAGCCUCAGAGACUCCGCAGAACCAAACAUCCUAAGUGGCAAAUGCCGUCAGAGUCAAAGCAGAAAACAGGCUGGAUUUACAGAGGUACAGGGUCGCUAUGGCAAGUCCAGAAGUCUGGAAACACUUUACGGAACAGAGGAAGGAGAGGUUGGCAGAAAACCAUAAGGAGAAGCAAAAUGUUCAGACCAGAGAGUGAAUCACCAGCAACAACUUGAAUCUCUGCUACAUCUGUCAGUGAAGCAACUGCUGACUGGCUUCUAUUCUAA